UAGUCUUGGUCGUUUAUGUGAAUCAGCCCACUGUAUGCAGCGGGAUCCGGAUGUACCAGCCCAAGUGGGCGCCUGUGUGUUGGGUGAUUUGCCCGCACGUUGAGUAAUAAAGCCAUGUUGCUUUCAAAAAAAAACAGAGGAGAGAGAGAGAGAUCCAUGGAGAUUUGGAGCUCCCCUGUCCCUCGAUUCGCUAGGGUGCCCCGGCGUCCAGCGCUCUCCCUCCGGCCGCCCAAGCCCCUCCGGCUUCUCCGAUGUCCGCGUCGGAGGGGCAGCAUAUCUCGGCCACCGUACCCAACCCCGGCCUCCAUUUCCCCCGCCGGCAUUUAUGGUCCUGUGAUGUAUGUUCGUCGAUUAUGACCUGAUCUAUCCCCCAUUCGCUAGGGGUUGUUGUUAGCUGUGUGUAGGAUUUCACGGUCAGAUCUAUUCCCCUUUCGUCCGUUGUGUGUGGUAAUUUCCCGUUGCUGUGUUGAAUCUCGUCUAUCAUGUGAGCUACAUUGUCUGGUUGAAUUCAGCUAGUUGUCAUGCGCCUGGACAUGCGGGGAUCCUAAUUUCAUCCAUGUCCAUGUCGCUGUCGGAUGUGAUGAUGUUUCUUUUAGUUCAGAACCCUUGCUUUGCUUGUACGGAUGGAUGGAUGGGAUCCUCAUUUGUUUCCUCGCCCUCACCUACCUACCAACCAAACUAGUCUACUGCCACUGCCACUGCCAGGCUACUACUAAUAAUCACAACCACCACCCUGACAACUAAAGUAUAUAAUACACUUUAAUUUCAGUCCAUUUUCAUUGUUUACAAUGAAGUAGUUUUGUAAAUGUGUAUAUAUGCUGCUCCGUUCAAUUUCAUUCAGUUAGUCUCAUGCCAAGUCAUUUUGGUUUCAGGAAAUUCCAUUCAAUCUGUGCAUGUACAUUCCUGAAUUCCAAUUCAGAAAUUUCAAGAAUUACAUUAUGUUACUGGAUUUUACACUGUAACUCUAAUUGGAUUUACAAUGUAAUUCUUAGUGUAUUUUAUUGAUUUCUUACAGUGUAAUUCUCAGCGGAUCUACACUGUAAUUCUCAGUGGAUUUAUACAGUAAUCCUUAGUGGAAUUACAGUGAACUUUCUUAGUCGAUACACUGUAAUUCUAAUUGGAUUUACAUUUUUUUCACUGUAAUUCUAUUUUUUAGUGAAUCUUCACUGUAAUUCGUAGUGCUCUUGUAAUGUAAUACUUUAGUUGAUUUUACAGUGUAAUUCCUCAAUGGUUUUGCAUUGUAAUUUUUGGUGCAUUUGCCAAUGUAUGUUAGUGGAUUUUACAGUGUAACUCUCAAUGGAUUUACACUGUAAUUCUUUAUUUUGAAUUUUACAGUGUAAUUCUCAGUGGAUUCACACUGUAAUUCUUAAUUUUUUUACUGUGUAAAUCUUUGUGCAUUGUACUGUAUUUACUUAUUUUAUCAGUGAUUUUUACACUGGUUAUCAUAUUGGGUUGCAUUGUGUGUAGGACUUCUCUUGCAACUGUUGAUUGCUUUUAGUUCAUUUUAAAUCUUUUCUUAGGUUUCUGUUGUUGUCAUGCUUGAUGCUAAUCUUAGUUUUUGGUAUUUUUGCAGGGUGUUUUAUGGAUAGUUGCAUGAUAAUGUCUGGUUAGUUCUUUUUUCCCAGUUUUAUUUGUGUAAUUUAUUUUGUCGGGUCAUCUUAUUUGUGUGUAAUCCAGUGAUGAUGUAUUGAUUGGAAUAUUUCUUGUACUGUUCAUUUUACCCCCUUUUAGCUCAGUUGAUGUGAUUAAUUGUAUACCCUUGUAAUUAGCUAUUUUAUACUCCCCCAGUAAAGAAAUAUAAGAGCGUUUAGAUCACUCAAGUAGUGAUCUAAACGCUCUUAUAUUAGAUUACGGAGGGAGCAUUUUAGCACAUUACACUUUUAUGGAAGUAUUUGUAUUUUUUGAUUUAGUUCAUGUGUUCUUUUUGUUAUAUUGUCUUUGCCUAACCCAUUUAUGUAUCUGGUAAUGGGUAUGUAGUAAGCAUUUUCGUUUUGUAUUUUUUGUAUAAUAUUUAUCCUUUAUGCCAUAUUUCUCAGUAUUUUUUUAUUCUAUGUGAUUUAUAUAUUAGGGAAUUGUUUAAUCUAUGGGUAGACUCGGGAAGUGUUUUGGUAAGGGUAUUCAUUCUGCUUGUUCCGAAGAGCAAGGUGAUUCAGAUGGUGAUCCUUUUGUGCCCAAUGAUUUUGCUGAGGACGAUUCUUUCCAAGUUUCCGAGAUUUCUUCAGGCAGGAGAGAGACGAUAGGAGGUGAUGAAUGCACAGGAGGGGGGAGAGGGAUGUUUUCCUUGUGUUUUUCCUACUUCUCCAGCCAUGUUGUUGACGUUUGUCUCCCAGAUCUUGGAGGAAUCGCCCUCUCUGGUGGCGCUUCUCCAUGUUCGUCCUCCUAUAUGUGGUUGUACUUGUACCAGUGCAUUUUGUCAGUGUAGUUAACUUUGUUUAGUGAAUUUUACACUGUAAAGCUGAUAAAAUUACAGUGUAUUUAUUACUGGUUUUACAGUGUUUUUAUAAGUGGAUUUGCACUGUAAUUCCUAUCUGGACUUACACUGUAAUUCUUCUCUAAGUUUACAAUGUAAUUUUGGCUGGUUUUACGGUGUA